rnacentral:rRNA from 1 species
GAUGAACGCUAGCGAUAGGCUUAACACAUGCAAGUCGAGGGGCAGCAUAGAGAUAGUUUACUAUUUCUGAUGGCGACCGGCGCACGGGUGAGUAACGCGUAUGCAAUCUACCUCAUACAAAGGGAUAGCCCGGAGAAAUUCGGAUUAAUACCAUAUGGUACUAACAGAUCGCAUGAUCUGUUAUUUAAAGAUUUAUCGGUAUAAGAUGAGCAUGCGUUCCAUUAGUUAGUUGGUAAGGUAACGGCUUACCAAGACAUCGAUGGAUAGGGGAACUGAGAGGUUUAUCCCCCACACUGGAACUGAGACACGGACCAGACUCCUACGGGAGCAGCAGUGAGGAAUAUUGGUCAAUGGGCGAGAGCCUGAACCAGCCAAGUCGCGUGAAGAUGACUGCCCUAUGGGUUGUAAACUUCUUUUAUAUAGGAAUAAAGGACGAUACGUGUAUUUGUUUGCAUGUACUAUAUGAAUAAGCAUCGGCUAACUU